GCGGAGGAAAAGGAACCAACAGGGAUUGCCUUAGUAACGGCGAGUGAAGCGGCAACAGCUCAAAUUUGAAAUCUGGCUCCUUCGGGGUCCGAGUUGUAAUUUGCAGAGGAUGCUUCGAGUUAUGGUUCCUUCCGAGUUCCCUGGAACGGGACGCCAUAGAGGGUGAGAGCCCCGUCUGGUAGGAAACCAUGCUCAUGUGAAGCUCCCUCGACGAGUCGAGUAGUUUGGGAAUGCUGCUCUAAGGGGAGGUAUACUCCUUCCAAGGCUAAAUACCGGCUAGAGACCGAUAGCGCACAAGUAGAGUGAUCGAAAGAUGAAAAGUACUUUGAAAAGAGAGUCAAACAGCACGUGAAAUUGUUAAAAGGGAAGCGCUCGCUACCAGACGUGGGUUCGGUGGUUCAACCAGGUCCAUGACCUGGGGCACUCCGCCGGCCCAGGCCAGCAUCAGCUUUCCGUCGGGGGCAAAGGCGUCGGGAAUGUGGCUCUCCUUCGGGGGAGUGUUAUAGCCCGUCGCGUCAUACCCUUCGGGGGGCUGAGGUACGCGCUCCGCAAGGAUGCUGGCGUAAUGGUAGCUAGUGACCCGUCUUGAAACACGGACCAAGGAGUCAACCUUAUGUGCGAGUGCCCGGGCGUAAAACCCCAGCGCGGAAUGAAAGUGAACGUAGGUGAGAGCUUCGGCGCAUCACCGACCGAUCCUGAUGUCCUCGGACGGAUUUGAGUGAGAGCAUAUAGGGUUGGACCCGAAAGAAGAUGAACUAUGCGUGUGUAGGGUGAAGCCAGAGGAAACUCUGGUGGAGGCUCGCAGCGGUUCUGACGUGCAAAUCGA
rnacentral:misc_RNA from 1 species